AUCGCAGACCGCCUUAUCGCCGUCAUGUCUUUUGGGACGAGAGGGAGGAAAGUCCGGACACCACAGGGAAGCAUAGCGGGUAACUCCCGUCGGUUUCGUCUUUACGGACGAGAUUAGGACAAGUGCAACAGAAAGUAUGUACAGGUAAUGCUGUAGUGAAACCAGGUAAACUCUAUGCGGUGAAAUAUCAAGUAUAUCAGCAUUUAAGGGCGUCUCGUUCGUUGCUGAAGGGUAGAUAGCUUGAGUCCAGAAGUAAUUCUGGAUCUAGAUAAAUGAUAAGGCUCUAAUUUAUUGGAGACAGAAUCCGGCUUAUAGGUCUGCAUUUUUU
rnacentral:RNase_P_RNA from 1 species